rnacentral:rRNA from 1 species
UGCGGAGGAUCCAAGCGUUAUCCGGAUUUAUUGGGUUUAAAGGGUGCGUAGGCGGCCUGUUAAGUCAGGGGUGAAAGACGGUAGCUCAACUAUCGCAGUGCCCUUGAUACUGAUGGGCUUGAAUGGACUAGAGGUAGGCGGAAUGAGACAAGUAGCGGUGAAAUGCAUAGAUAUGUCUCAGAACACCGAUUGCGAAGGCAGCUUACUAUGGUCUUAUUGACGCUGAGGCACGAAAGCGUGGGGAUCAAACAGG